rnacentral:lncRNA from 1 species
UCUUGGGUCCCCUUCCGUGCUGUAGAAGCUUUGUUCUUUCUCUCUUCCCAAUAAAUCUUGCUGCUGCUGACUCUUUGGGUCCACACUACCUUUAUGAGCUGUAACACUCACCACAAGGGUCUGUGGCUUCAUUUCUGAAGUCAGUGAGACCACGAACCCACCAGGAGGAACAAACAACUCCGGACACACCACCUUUAAGAGCUGUAACACUUACUGAGAAGGUCUGAGGCUUCACUCCUGAAGUCAGCGAGACCAUGAACCCACCGGAAGGAAGAAACUACGAACACAUCUGAACAUCUGAAGGAACAAACUCCAGACACACUAUCUUUAAAAACUGUAACACUCACUGUGAGGGUCCACGGCUUCAUUCUUGAAGUCAGCAAGACCAAGAACCCACUGGAAGGAACCAAUUUUGGACACAUUUUGGCGACCGCAAAGGGACAAUCACCAAGUGCCCCUGCCCAGCCAGCCUAGUCCCAGAAGCAGAG